rnacentral:rRNA from 1 species
UAUGUGAUCGUCUCUCGCAUAUCAAUAAGCGGAGGAAAAGAAACUAACAAGGAUUCCCCUAGUAACGGCGAGUGAAGCGGGAAGAGCUCAAAUUUGAAAUCUUAAAGGGUUUCCCUUUACGAAUUGUAGUUUAAAGAAGUGUUUUCUGUUGAGGUUUUGGUAAAAGUUCUUUGGAAUAGGACAUCAUAGAGGGUGAGAAUCCCGUAUUUGACCUUUACUUUCAACUUUGUGAUACACUUUCAAAGAGUCGGAUUGUUUGGGAAUGCAGUCCAAAAUGGGUGGUAAAUUUCAUCUAAAGCUAAAUAUUGGCGAGAGACCGAUAGCGAACAAGCACCGUGAGGGAAAGAUGAAAAGAACUUUGAAAAGAGAGUUAAACAGUACGUGAAAUUGUCAAAAGGGAAGCGUUUGACACCAGUGUUGUUUUUCUGAAAAUCAAUUAAAGAACUGUUUAUGCUAAGCUGUUUAGACUUUAUCAGCUAUCUGUUUAGUUUUGAGCUUUUCUUUAAUGCACUUUUCAGUUAACAAGUCAACAUCAAUUUCUUUUGCUGUAAAAAAGCUUGAGGAAGGUGGCUUGAGAUUCGUCUUAAGUGUUAUAGCCUCUUGCCUAUGCAGUCGGAGAGAUUGAGGUCUGCAGCGUAGAUCCUUCGGGGCUAAAUGCAUUUGUGCUAAGUUAUAGCAUUUUAUAGACAACUUGUUGACUAUGAUUUGUCUUGUAGCUUACUCGCUUAUGUUAUUUUACCUACGCUUAGGAUGUUGAGUAGCGACAUACGCAC